UGGUGGAGUGAUUUGUCUGGUUAAUUCCGUUAACGAACGAGACCCCUGCCUGCUAAAUAGUCAGCAUAGUGAUCUUCACCGUGUCUGGCUUCUUAGAGGGACGUGCAUUCGACUAGUUGCAGGAAGAGUAGGGGCAAUAACA
rnacentral:rRNA from 1 species